UUCCACAGGGAGCUUUGAAGCUGGAUGUCCCUUAAGAACGACUCUGUGUUGAGGCAAAGAAACCAGGCUUGGGUACCCCUGCAUGACCCAGUCAUUUAAGUUGGGUAGCAGCUUCGCCCCUAGAAGGGGCCAUGACUUGGGCAAGGCAACUCUCUUUGGCUCCAGGCAAUUUUUCAGGAGGGGUUUAGCUAAGAUUCAGUGUCUUUCAAUGCUCUGAGCAGGUGAGAUAAGGAGUAUUUCAAUUCUGAAUCAAGAGGACAAGUGUUAUAGUAACCACCUGUUGUCUUCAGUGUUUCUGAGUGCCUUGCACACAUAGGUACUUAAAUACUGGGUUAAGCAAUUGACUAUCAAUCAAUAAUCUUUUAUGAAAGAAGAGAUGGUGCAGCACACGCAUGCCCAAUAUUAAGAGAGAGAAGACAUUUAUUGAGGCAAGCAGCUGGAGUGGACCUGCCCCCAUCACCAGGCCAGCUUCCCACCUGCACGUGCAGCUCUUUCUUCUUUUGCAGGAGGCUUGCUCUGCUCAUUAGACAUGCAACAAAGAGCUGGCCUGUGGAGCACACAUCCAUAUUCAUAACUCAAGUCAGCUGGAAAGUUGUACAUUUUUCUUUCUGGGAAAUCAUGGCGACAAAGACUGAAGACCCAGGCAGCACAAACGUGAAUGAUGGAUCUCUCAGAAGAACAACAAAGACUGAAGUGAGUAUAUUUUAUGCUUGGAAAUGAGCAAAUCAUUCCUUUUGACAAGCCAUUAAUGUUGGGGGUGAGUAUCUGUCUAUCAGGAAUUGAGCUAGAUUUGAGAUUUUUUUCUUGUUAUUGUUACUCUUGGUACUCCAGAAGCUUUAAAUACUUUUAAUAUUCCCUGUUAUAACAGCUGCUCUGCCGAAGAGUUUUUGUCCACAUCUGCUCAACUCUUGCUUUAUGCUUUCCAUUUGCUCAAUGUCUCAGAGAUUAUCUUAACUCUGUUUCUUGUCUUUCAACAGCAAAAAGCUAUUACUGGCUACUUGAUAUUGGUUAGCCUGUUGUUGGAGGAUGAAGUCUGUUCUUGUAAUCUGAUUAAGCCUCAGUUUUAGGCAGACACUAAUCUCAAACUCCCUGGAGAAAAGCCUUCUAAGUAAUCCUGCCCCAUCUUCGCCUGGAGUGCUAAGCUAAGCAUGAAUUCCUAAUCAUCCUCUAAGAUUAGACAACUUUUUUUUUUUCUCCAAUUGAAGUGGGUUUUCACUCAGACCCACUCAGUGGGUGACAGUGUUUGCAGCAUUUUCCCCAGAUCUUUAAGGUUGUGUUUCAUAAGAGAAAGAGCCACUCUUGGAUUUGUGACUUUCCCACAGUGGCUGCGAUUUCCCCCCGCUGGACCUGAACUGCCAGGAAUGAUUGCUCAAGACUUUUGUCAGUCUUUAUUGUGAGGACAAUACCUGGUGAGGUCCGUGAAGAAGAGUCUGUUGAAGCAUUUAAAUUUCUCUUGUCUCAGCCCCUAGAGGUUUUAUAGUCUCUUUUUUGCUGACACUAUGCCAUUAUCACUUGUUAUACAUUUUAUCUGAAUUCUUCUUAUGGGUGUCUGGUGGUCCUUGCCCAGGUAAGCAGGUGCUUAUGCACCGUUUCUACUGGGUGGUGACUGACUUGUCUUAGAUUUUCUGUUCAAGAAAACGUAGAAAUUUUCAUAUGAUGCGGAAUAGGUUCUGGGAUCGAAGUGAUGAAAUUUUAAUUUUCUAUCUUCUAAAUAGAAGGUGGAAAUUACACUUUUACUUUUAGAAACAGGUAUGAUUUGUUUUUUUGAAUUGAUAUGUGUAGAGCACUAAUAUUUACUGUAUUAUAUGAUUUGGCUGAAAUCUACAGUCUUAUGAGUUGUUUUCUAUUUUACUCCUUUUUAAGAUUUUUUAAAUUUUCUCUUCUUGUUUUACUUCUCCUUUUUAUUGAGAUGACGUUCAUAUAAUAUAAAAUUAACCAUCGUUUGAAGUAGAUAACUCCGUGACAUUUAGUCCACUCACGAUACUAUGCAACCACUACUUUUAUCUGGCUCUAAAAGCAUUUUUGGGGUUUCAAAAGGAAACCCUAUACCCUUUAAGCCAUGGCCCUUCAUUCCUCAAACCUCCUACUUUGCCCAAAGUAACCACCAGUGUACGUUCUGGCUGUAUGUACUUUUGUAUUUUGAACAUCUCAUACAAACAGCAUCAUGCAAGGUGCAGCCUAUUGUGUCUGGCUUCUCUUGCUCAGAAUGUUCUGGAGGUUCAUCCAUGUCACAGUGUACAUCUAUACUUUAUUACUUUUUAUGACUGAGUAAUAUUCUAUUUUAUGUGUAUAUCAUGAUUUGUUUAUCUGUUCAUUCAUUAAUGAAAAUUUCAACUGUUUUCACCUUUGGGUUAUUAUAAAUUGUGCCGCUAUAAACAUUCAUAUACGUGUACUUGUUUGUUAGCAGUUUCCGGUGCUACUGAGCUUGUACCAAAGAUUUUCCUUGCAUGAUCAUACACCAAUUCUAUCUCACUUUUCGAGGAACCUGCAAACUGCUGUCCACAGUGCCUAAACCAUUUUACAUCUCUACCAGCAAUAUAUAAGUGUUCCAACUAAUCCACAUGCUUGCAAACUCUUGAAAUUCUUUCUCUCUCUCUUAGAGGUUGUAAGGUUCUAACUCAUUAUGGUUUUGAUUUGCAUUUCCCAAUGACUGAUUUUGAGUGUCUUUUCAUGCAUUCGUUAACCAUUUGUAUUCUUCUGUAGACAAAUGUGUAUUCAACUCUUUUACCUGCCCCCUGCCCCUUUUAAAAUGGGGUAGUUUGUUUUAUGUUGUUAGUUGUAAUAAUUCUUUAUAUAUUCUGACCACUAGACCCCUGUCAGAUAUAUAAUUUGGUAAUAUUAUUUCCCAUUGUGUAGGCUAUCUUUUUAUUUUCUUGAUAAUGUAUUUCUAUAUAUAUUUAUAUGUUUUCAUAUAUAUUUAUAUAUUUCAUCUGUAUUAUAUAUAAAUAAAUACAUGUAUUUAUUGAUUUGUAUUUAUUGAUUUCUUUUUAAUAAAGCCCCAUUUAUCCAUUUUUUGUUUUUUGUGCUCACAGUGUGAUAUCUAAGAAUCCACUGACAGAUCUGAAGUCAUAAAGACCUACCUCUAAGUUUUUUUCUCAAAGUUUGAUGGUUUCAGCUCUUAUAUUUAGAUUUUUGACACAUUUCAGUAUUUUCAAAAGCAGACAUUUAUAAAAAAACAUUAAUUGAAAGGCUAAAUUAUCCAUAUUACUAAGGCCAGAAAGAAUACCUAAGACAAAUAACAACUAUGAGAGACACCACCAUAAAAGACACAUAACAAAGAGGGCAUAACGCUCCUCUUUGUUCACUAUGGACUUGAAUAUUUCAUGAAAUGGAUUACAUUUUAAAAAGGAAAAGAAAAGCCCUAGGUUGUUCGGUCAUGCUAAGCUUUACUUCAUAGCACCCAUCCACAAACGGGGGGGGAAGUUACAAUGGAAAUUAUUUCGUUUCAAGCAUAAUGGUUGCUGGUAGAUAUUUCCCUGAGUUUUUCAUUUCUUCAUUCGCCACAUAUGUACAGAGCACCAACUCUACACCACGCCUGAGUUAAGACCUCAUGGAUGAGUGCCGCUGCUUGGCCUCUGCCACCUCAGGAUCCAAUUAUUCCUAUUGUAUUUAAAUAUUGUAGUUGAGUGGCUGCAGUUCCCACUGUUGGAUCUGACAUACAGAGAAGGACAAUUACAGAGCUCUUCAAAGAUACAGGUUCUGCCCUCACAAAUCUAUUUCACAAGGCAUUGGUCAAGGGUAUAGCUUCUGGACCCUCCCAGCUGGGAUGAGUAGGUUUAAAGUGACUAAAUGACUCCAUCAUCCCAAUCUAAGCCUUUGGAUCCCUUUCUCUACAUUACACCAAGAGAGAUUAGGCAUUUCCAGCUCACUCACAGUGGUCCAUCUUUUAAUCCAUGUUUCAGCUAACCAAGCAAAUAAAGUGUGAAAACUCUGGGCUGCAAUAUUAAAUCUGAGUCCCUACUUAGUGGGCCCAAAUCAAUAAAUUCAGCCUGAUCCAACUCUAUGUUCCUUCCACCAUUAUCCCAUACCCUACUAUCCAUUCCCAUCCCUGUUCUCCAGAUUUCUGUUUAUAUAAAUUAGAAAACUCAAGCAGUUCUUUUUAAGUGUAGUAUGCCUCCUCGUGGUCAUAUUCUCAACCUCACCUCUAGGGGCCUGCCAGGACUUUAGUCUAGUUAUAGAUCUAAAAGCAAACAGGGGUGUUGGGGGUGGCUCCUGGGGAGAAUCAACAUUAUCUCACCUGGUAACUGUCUCAGGGGAGGCCAUCACUGUUGCCUCAGGCAGUAUAGGGUUUGUCUCCUCAGACAAAGGUGGAAAGGCUAAUGGCAGCACGGGUUAGGGAGGAAAUGUUGCCACUACAGGAGAUGGGGAAGCUGUU